CGGACGGGUGAGUAACACGUGGACAAUCUGCCCCCCGGCCCGGGAUAGCCCAGGGAAACCUGGAUUAAUACCGGAUGAGACGGGACCCGCGAAGGCGGGACCCGGGAAGGCGCUGCGGCGCCGCCGGGGGAUGAGUCUGCGUCCCAUUAGCUAGACGGCGGGGUAACGGCCCACCGUGGCGACGAUGGGUAGCCGGCCUGAGAGGGUGGACGGCCACAUUGGAACUGAGACACGGUCCAGACUCCUACGGGAGGCAGCAGCUAAGAAUCUUCCGCAAUGGGCGAAAGCCUGACGGAGCCGACGCCGCGUGAACGAAGAAGGCCGUGAGGUUGUAAAGUUCUUUUCGGGAGGGGGAACAACCGUGGCAGGGAAUGGCCGCGGGAUGACGUGAAUCCCGGAAUAAGCCCCGGCUAACUACGUGCCAGCCGCCGC
rnacentral:rRNA from 1 species